CCGGGCCUGACCGCAGUCGCCCGGCUUAUCCAAGGCAUUUCGCCCAAGUACUGC
rnacentral:ncRNA from 1 species